rnacentral:rRNA from 1 species
GAUGAACGCUGGCGGCGUGCCUAAUACAUGCAAGUCGAGCGAACAGACGAGGAGCUUGCUCCUCUGACGUUAGCGGCGGACGGGUGAGUCACACGUGGAUAACCUACCUAUAAGACUGGGAUAACUUCGGGAAACCGGAGCUAAUACCGGAUAAUAUCUUGAACCGCAUGGUUCAAUAGUGAAAGACGGUUUUGCUGUCACUUAUAGAUGGAUCCGCGCUGCAUUAGCUAGUUGGUAAGGUAACGGCUUACCAAGGCAACGAUGCGUAGCCGACCUGAGAGGGGGAUCGGCCACACUGGAACUGAGACACGGUCCAGACGCCUACGGUAGGCAGCAGUAGGGAAUCUUCCGCAAUGGGCGAAAGCCUUACGGAGCAACGCCGCGUGAGUGAUGAAGGUCUUCGGAUCGUAAAACUCUGUUAUUAGGGAAGAACAAAUGUGUAAGUAACUAUGCACGUCUUGACGGUACCUAAUCAGAAAGCCACGGCUAACUACGUG